CUAAGCGGGGAGCGGCGCACAGUCACUGUACGGCGCAGGCCCGCGCGUGCGCAAUGGCGUCCCGCCAGAUUACAAAAGGAGGUCGCUCCCUGGGCGCGCAGACCGCGUGGGGGAGGGGGAGGGCGUCUCCGCCCCUAACGGGCGGAGGCGGGGCGGCCGGCCGGAAGUGGCGGGGACAGAAGAGGAAGCGCGGGUUUCUUGCGAGCCAGAGGACCGGGUUAGACGCGAACCCUCAGUCUCCCGCCCGCUGGUUUGCUCCCGACCUAGGCGGAGAGCUAGCUGCCAGGGCCGGUCGGGCGCCGAGUGACCCGGCUCCGCCAGCUCCUGAGGGAGAGACAGGGAGUGGACGGACGAGGCGGGCUCCAACCGCCAUGUUAGCGGAGUCCUAAGAAACCGCGCGAGCCACAGCCCAGCAGGACCUCGUGGCGCAACGAUCACCAAGAACACAGAACAUGGCCUAGACUUCCCGGACUGCACCCUAGGGAUAACUGGGGAAGAAAAGACUGCAGGUCCUGUUUACCAUACAAGGUCAGAAGAGGACACCAGGUCCCUGUGAACUGGAGUUAUAGGCAGCUGUAAACUGAUGGAGCUGCUGGGAACUGAACUCCAAUCCUUUAGAAAAGCAACCAGGGUUCUUAAUUGCUGAGUCAUCCCUCCAGGCCCUGCAUGGUUUUAACUCAUUGAUGAUGAUGAUGAUGAUGUAUAAUUUGCACAUGCCUGAUGUAGGGGGCACAGAGAGGUCAGAAGACAACUCUAUGGAGUCAUGUCUCCACCUCUGUGUUGGUUCUGCAUAUGGCACAAGCACACUGACCCACUGAACCAUCACUCCAGGUCUGCUUGAUUCUCUUGAUACCAGCUAUGUAGCUUAGGCUGGACUUCAACGCACAGUCAGCCUUCCAAGCAUAAGAAUUACAAACAUGUGCCACCAUUUCCUGCCCCCACAUUUUUUCCCCCUUGAGACAGGGUCUCACCAUGUAGCUGUGGC
rnacentral:lncRNA from 1 species